rnacentral:rRNA from 1 species
CAGUAGCCGCGGGAAUACAGAGGGUGCGAGCGUUAAUCGGAUUUACUGGGCGUAAAGCGUGCGUAGGCGGCUUUUUAAGUCGGAUGUGAAAUCCCUGAGCUUAACUUAGGAAUUGCAUUCGAUACUGGGAAGCUAGAGUAUGGGAGAGGAUGGUAGAAUUCCAGGUGUAGCGGUGAAAUGCGUAGAGAUCUGGAGGAAUACCGGUGGCGAAGGCGGCCCCCUGGACAAAGACUGACGCUCAGGUGCGAAAGCGUGGGGAGCAAACAGGAUUAGAUACCCCUGUAGCCCUGUCUCUUAUACA